rnacentral:rRNA from 1 species
CGGAACUUAAUUGGACUUUGACAGAUCUGUGUAGGAUAGGUGGGAGGCUUUGAAGUAAGGUCGCUAGAUCUUAUGGAGCCAACGUUGAAAUACCACCCUGGUGUGUUUGAGGUUCUAACCUUGUCCCGUUAUCCGGGAUGGGGACAGUGUAUGGUGGGCAGUUUGACUGGGGCGGUCUCCUCCCAAAGUGUAACGGAGGAGUUCGAAGGUACCCUAGUUACGGUCGGAAAUCGUGACGAUAGUGCAUUGGCAUAAGCGUGCUUGACUGCGAGACUGACAAGUCGAGCAGGUACGAAAGUAGGACAAAGUGAUCCGGUGGUUCUGUAUGGAAGGGCCAUCCCUCAACGGAUAAAAGGUACUCUAGGGAUAACAGGCUGAA